AUACGUAGGGGGCGAGCGUUGUCCGGAAUGACUGGGCGUAAAGGGCGUGUAGGCGGCGCUGUAAGUCUGGAGUGAAAGUCCCGCUUUCAAGGUGGGAACUGCUUUGGAUACUGCAGUGCUCGAGUGCGGAAGAGGUAAGUGGAAUUCCCAGUGUAGCGGUGAAAUGCGUAGAGAUUGGGAGGAACACCAGUGGCGAAGGCGACUUACUGGGCCGUAACUGACGCUGAGGCGCGAAAGCGUGGGGAGCGAACAGGAUUAGAUACCCUGGUAGUCCACGCGGUAAACGAUGAAUGCUAGGUGUUGCGGGUAUCGAC
rnacentral:rRNA from 1 species